GGCGUUAAGUUGCAGGGUAUAGACCCGAAACCCGGUGAUCUAGCCAUGGGCAGGUUGAAGGUUGGGUAACACUAACUGGAGGACCGAACCGACUAAUGUUGAAAAAUUAGCGGAUGACCUGUGGCUGGGGGUGAAAGGCCAAUCAAACCGGGAGAUAGCUGGUUCUCCCCGAAAGCUAUUUAGGUAGCGCCUCGUGAAUUCAUCUCCGGGGGUAGAGCACUGUUUCGGCUAGGGGGCCAUCCCGGCUUACCAACCCGAUGCAAACUGCGAAUACCGGAGAAUGUUAUCACGGGAGACACACGGCGGGUGCUAACGUCCGUCGUGAAGAGGGAAACAACCCAGACCGCCAGCUAAGGUCCCAAAGUCAUGGUUAAGUGGGAAACGAUGUGGGAAGGCCCAGACAGCCAGGAUGUUGGCUUAGAAGCAGCCAUCAUUUAAAGAAAGCGUAAUAGCUCACUGGUCGAGUCGGCCUGCGCGGAAGAUGUAACGGGGCUAAACCAUGCACCGAAGCUGCGGCAGCGAACGUAUCACUUAAAGCGAUUCAGCGGGUUACGAUUGACGGAGCGAAGCGACGUCAAAGCGUAUACAAAGUCGAGUCGGUUUA
rnacentral:rRNA from 1 species